rnacentral:rRNA from 1 species
GACGAAGGGCGCGGGUGUUAUUCGUUUUGAUUGGGUGUAAAGGGUACGCAGGUGGUUCUCAGUUUUUUGGCAAAAAGGGCGGAGUGUUCCUACGCCGUAGGCCUGUGAAAAAGAGAACUUGAGUUGAAGAUAGGUUCAGGCAAAUCUGCAUGUAAGAGUGGAAUCUUCGAAUAUGUGGACGAACACCAGCUAGCGAAGGCGCGGUUCUUGCUUCAACUGACACUAAGGUACGGAAGCCUAGGUAGCAAACGGG